rnacentral:rRNA from 1 species
AACGAACGCUGGCGGCAGGCUUAACACAUGCAAGUCGAGCGCCCCGCAAGGGGAGCGGCAGACGGGUGAGUAACGCGUGGGAAUCUACCCAUCUCUACGGAAUAACGCAUGGAAACGUGUGCAAAUACCGUAUACGUCCUUCGGGAGAAAGAUUUAUCGGAGAUGGAUGAGCCCGCGUUGGAUUAGCUAGUUGGUGGGGUAAAGGCCUACCAAGGCGACGAUCCAUAGCUGGUCUGAGAGGAUGAUUAGCCACACUGGGACUGAGACACGGCCCAGACUCCUACGGGAGGCAGCAGUGGGGAAUAUUGGACAAUGGGCGCAAGCCUGAUCCAGCCAUGCCGCGUGAGUGAUGAAGGCCCUAGGGUUGUAAAGCUCUUUCACCGGUGAAGAUAAUGACGGUAACCGGAGAAGAAGCCCCGGCUAACUUCGUGCCAGCCGCCGCGGUAAAAC